rnacentral:rRNA from 1 species
AUUGAACGCUGGCGGCAUGCUUUACACAUGCAAGUCGAACGGUAACAGGUUAAGCUGACGAGUGGCGAACGGGUGAGUAAUGCAUCGGAACGUGCCCGAUCGUGGGGGAUAACGCAGCGAAAGCUGCGCUAAUACCGCAUACGAUCUGAGGAUGAAAGCGGGGGACCGUAAGGCCUCGCGCGAUCGGAGCGGCCGAUGUCAGAUUAGGUAGUUGGUGGGGUAAAGGCUCACCAAGCCAACGAUCUGUAGCUGGUCUGAGAGGACGACCAGCCACACUGGGACUGAGACACGGCCCAGACUCCUACGGGAGGCAGCAGUGGGGAAUUUUGGACAAUGGGCGAAAGCCUGAUCCAGCAAUGCCGCGUGCAGGAAGAAGGCCUUCGGGUUGUAAACUGCUUUUGUACGGAGCGAAAAGGCUCUCUCUAAUACAGGGGGCUCAUGACGGUACCGUAAGAAUAAGCACCGGCUAACUACGUGCCAGCCGCCGCAGUAACAC